AUUGAACGCUGGCGGCAGGCUUAACACAUGCAAGUCGAGCGGAGAUGAGGUGCUUGCACCUUAUCUUAGCGGCGGACGGGUGAGUAAUGCUUAGGAAUCUGCCUAUUAGUGGGGGACAACAUUCCGAAAGGAAUGCUAAUACCGCAUACGUCCUACGGGAGAAAGCAGGGGAUCUUCGGACCUUGCGCUAACAGAUGAGCCUAAGUCGGAUUAGCUAGUUGGUGGGGUAAAGGCCUACCAAGGCGACGAUCUGUAGCGGGUCUGAGAGGAUGAUCCGCCACACUGGGACUGAGACACGGCCCAGACUCCUACGGGAGGCAGCAGUGGGAAAUAUUGGACAAUGGGGGGAACCCUGAUCCAGCCAUGCCGCGUGUGUGAAGAAGGCCUUAUGGUUGUAAAGCACUUUAAGCGAGGAGGAGGCUACUGAGACUAAUACUCUUGGAUAGUGGACGUUACUCGCAGAAUAAGCACCGGCUAACUCUGUGCCAGCCGCCGCGGUAA
rnacentral:rRNA from 1 species